rnacentral:rRNA from 1 species
CUACGUAGGUCCCAAGCGUUGCGCGAUCUCACUGGGCGGAAAGCGUCCCCAGCCGGUCCGGUAAGCGGAUUGUCAAAACCCGCGGCUCAACCGCGGUAGGGCAACCCGAACUGCCGGACUUGAGGCAAGCCCAGGCAGGCGGAAUUCCCGGUGUAGCGGUGAAAUGCGUAGAUAUCAGGAGGAACACCAAAGGGGAAGCCAGCCUGCUGGGGCUGCCCUGACGGUCACGGACGAAAGCUGGGGGAGCAAACCGGAUUAGAAACCCUAGUAGUCC